rnacentral:rRNA from 1 species
UAGGGAAUCUUCGGCAAUGGACGAAAGUCUGACCGAGCAACGCCGCGUGAGUGAAGAAGGUUUUCGGAUCGUAAAACUCUGUUGUUAGAGAAGAACAAGGACGUUAGUAACUGAACGUCCCCUGACGGUAUCUAACCAGAAAGCCACGGCUAACUACGUGCCAGCAGCCGCGGUAAUACGUAGGUGGCAAGCGUUGUCCGGAUUUAUUGGGCGUAAAGCGAGCGCAGGCGGUUUCUUAAGUCUGAUGUGAAAGCCCCCGGCUCAACCGGGGAGGGUCAUUGGAAACUGGGAGACUUGAGUGCAGAAGAGGAGAGUGGAAUUCCAUGUGUAGCGGUGAAAUGCGUAGAUAUAUGGAGGAACACCAGUGGCGAAGGCGGCUCUCUGGUCUGUAACUGACGCUGAGGCUCGAAAGGGUGGGGAGCAAACAGG